GACGAACGCUGGCGGCGUGCUUAACACAUGCAAGUCGAACGGAAAGGCCCUGCUUUUGUGGGGUGCUCGAGUGGCGAACGGGUGAGUAACACGUGAGUAACCUGCCCUUGACUUUGGGAUAACUUCAGGAAACUGGGGCUAAUACCGGAUAGGAGCUCCUGCUGCAUGGUGGGGGUUGGAAAGUUUCGGCGGUUGGGGAUGGACUCGCGGCUUAUCAGCUUGUUGGUGGGGUAGUGGCUUACCAAGGCUUUGACGGGUAGCCGGCCUGAGAGGGUGACCGGCCCCAUUGGGACUGCGAUACGGCCCAGACUCCUACGGGAGUCAGCAGUGGGGAAUAUUGCGCAAUAGGCGGAAGCCUGAUGCAGCAACGCCGCGUGCGGGAUGACGGCCUUCGGGUUGUAAACCGCUUUCGCCUGUGACGAAGCGUGAGUGACGGUAAUGGGUAAAGAAGCACCGGCUAACUACGUG
rnacentral:rRNA from 1 species